UACGUAGGGUGCGAGCGUUAAUCGGAAUUACUGGGCGUAAAGCGUGCGCAGGCGGUUCUGAAAGUCAGCUGUGAAAGCCCCGGGCUUAACCUGGGAACUGCGGUUGAAACUACAGGACUAGAAUCUGGCAGAGGGGGGGUGGAAUUCCACGUGUAGCAGUGAAAUGCGUAGAGAUGUGGAGGAACACCGAUGGCGAAGGCGGCCCCCUGGGCUGAGAUUGACGCUCAGGCACGAAAGCGUGGGGAGCAAACAGG
rnacentral:rRNA from 1 species